rnacentral:lncRNA from 1 species
ACUUUAGUCUAAAAAUUUUUUCACUAUUUUAGUCGAAUUAGUAGCCUCUAUCUCCAAUCCAAGAAAUUAUCCUAAUUUCUUAGCAGGUACAAGAAUCCACACAGUUACAUAUGAGCCCGACUUUGGCUAGCUCACUCAUAUACAUCUAUGAGUAGGUUCUCAUCUAAUUAUUUUAGUAAAUAAUUUUUAGUAAUUAAUUUUGUCCUAGAUAACUUUUUAGUUGACUUUGGUCUUCUCUGCAAGCCUUGGUUAGAUCCAACCAUUAAUAUGAUCAUACUCAAGAAUCUAACUAUCGAAUGAUCAGGCCCAACA